GACAGAGGGGGCGAGCGUUAUCCGGAGUUAUUGGGCGUAAAGGGUACGUAGGCGGCUGGUCAAGUCUGGGGUUAAAGACCACAGCUUAACUGUGGGCGGGCCUUGGAAACUGACCGGCUGGAGUGGGGCAGGGGUUGCGGGAAUUCCCGGUGUAGCGGUGAAAUGCGUAGAUAUCGGGAAGAACACAUGAGGCGAAAGCGCGCAACUGGGCCCUAACUGACGCUGAGGUACGAAAGCUAGGGGAGCGAAUGGG
rnacentral:rRNA from 1 species